UUAAAGUCACUUUCUUUUUGUUUCUUUAGUUGUAUUGUUACUCUUGAGAUGACAUAAAUAAAGGAAAGCUUUUCCUUUUGCCUUAAAUCAUGUUUGAAUGAAAUGAUAUUCUAAAAGAAAGGGCAAGAGAUCACAGACAUGUGGCCAGGUCACGGGUUCAAGCUUGGAAAUAGUCUAUUGUAGAAAUAUAAGGUAAGGCUUCGUACAAUACACCCUUGUGGUGGGGCCGUUCCAUGGACCCUGUGCAUAGCUGGAGCUUUAGUUCACCGGCUGACCUUUUAAGAGCAGAAGAUCUUUUUGCUAUUUAAAGUCUUAAACCUACAUCAUUACUAGCCAUAUACAUAUUACUACCGAUUUAUGCAAUUAUGGAGAAAGAUUUCACCUCUUUUCUCUCAACACUUGAUGCUUCACUAUGUUAUAGUUACUUCAACCAUGACCCAAACAAACAAUGACAUUGAUCAGUUAACUCUUCUAUCUUUGAAAUUACAAAUCAUUUUAGACCCUUCUCACUUCGUGGAUGAAAGCUGGUCUCCUGCUAUUUUGUUUGUCAUUGGGUGAGAGUCACUUGUGGUUCUCGCCACUAGAGAAUGAAGUUCUUGAAUCUUUCUAACAUGGCUCUUACAGGAAGGAUUCCUCGUGAUUUUUGAAACCUCACGUUUCUUGUUUCUCUUAACCUGAGUAGAAACACUUUCCGUGGAAAUUUGCCUCAAGAAAUGGCACACUUACGUCGGCUUAAGUUUCUUGAUUUAAGUUUCAACUGCUUCAGCAGGAAGGUUCCCUCUUGGUUUGGAUUCUUACACCAACUUCAAGAUCUAAAUCUUGGGAAUAAUAGUUUCACUGGUUCCAUCCCUUCUUCAUUUUCUAAUAUUUCCACAAUUUAGACUUUAAAUCUGAAUUUCAAUUCCAUAGAGGGUCAAAUCCAAGAAGUGAUUGGAAGUCUUAUAAACCUUAGAGUAUUGAUGUUGAAAGGUAACAAGCUCAUAGGCUCUAUUCCUCUAUCACUCCCGAAUGCCUCAAGGUUGGAGACUUUGGAGAUAUCUUAUAAUUCACUUCAAGGAAACAUUCCAGAAGGGAUCAGCAAUCUUCACAGCAUGAACGGUUCUAUGCCACUACCAGUUUUCAACAUUUCUAGAAUUGAAAAUAUAGUAUUUACAGGCAAUAGCUUAUCAGGAGAUCUUCCCAAUGGUUUAUACAAUGGUCUCCCAAUACUCAAAGGGCUUUAUCUCUACAAAACAAGCUUCGCAGUCAUAUGCCUACAAGCUUAUCAAAUUGUUCACUACUUCAACUAUUUUCUUUAUCUUAUAAUGAGUUUGAUGGACCAAUACAUAGUGGAAUUGGAAGAUUGAAUAACUUGCAGUAUUUGUAUCUCGGACAUAACCAUUUCAUAGGUGAAAUACCCAAAGAGAUAAGCAAUCACACUGAGUUGGAGCUACUUGAUCUUGGGCUUAAUAGUUUUAGUGGUUCACUUCCAAUGGAGAUCUUCAACAUAUCAGGCCUGAAAGUAAAUACUCUUACAAAUAAUAAUCUAUCAGGAAGACUCCUACCAAACAUGUGUUCUAUCAUAUCCAAUACUGAAGAGCUUUAUCUAGAAAUCUUAACCAAUCUUGUUGGGACUAUCUUCAACUGUUCAAAACUUAAAAUUCUUGAGCUUUCAGGCAACAAACUCACAGGCCUUAUUCCCAAUUCUCUGGGAUAUUUGACUCAUCUAUGAUACGAGUACGAUCACGAUCAUGGACACUUUUUGGAGUAUUUUGAAGACCACCAAAAGAGUGCACAAGUCUAAGUGUGAAGGAGGCCCAAAACCGUCCCAAGCACACUCCAUGGGCUGUUUUUGGAGCCCUUUACAUUAAAGGAUCUUUUAGUCUUUAGUCUUUUAUUUUGUAAUGUAAUAUAAAUUGAACAUUGUAAGGUUUUAUUUAGUAGU